UACAGAGGCCCCAAGCGUUACUGAGCAUCACUGGGUUUAAAGGGUGCGUAGGUGGUCCGUUAAGUCAGUUGCGAAAUCCCCGGGCUCAACCCGGGAACUGCUUCUGAUACUGGCGGACUUGAGGCCGGUAGGGGUCACUGGAACAGACGGUGGAGCGGUGAAAUGCGUAGAUAUCGUCUGGAACGCCGGUGGUGAAGACGGGUGACGUGGCCGGUUCUGACACUGAGGCACGAAAGCGUGGGGAGCGAACGGG
rnacentral:rRNA from 1 species